rnacentral:rRNA from 1 species
ACGCUCGACACCUACGAGAGGCAGCAGUGAGGAAUAUUGGUCAAUGGGCGCUAGCCUGAACCAGCCAAGUAGCGUGAAGGAUGAAGGCUCUAUGGGUCGUAAACUUCUUUUAUAUAAGAAUAAAGUGCAGUAUGUAUACUGUUUUGUAUGUAUUAUAUGAAUAAGGAUCGGCUAACUCCGUGCCAGGAGCCGCGGUAAUCUGAGCGGGCUGGCAAGGC